CACCUCCGGCCAGAAACUGAUUCUUUUAUCAUGGCAAUUUUUUUUGCACACAUGCCCAGGUCCUGAGGAUGAAAAUCCGGAGUACCUAGAUGACUCCUCCCCGUCGGAAGACGAAGGAGACCACGAUGCGGAAGUCACCCUUCCAGCCCACCACCGCCCCGGCGACAACCGGCGACAGAUCCAACCACCCCACCUCCCCAACGCCCGCCCUCCGCGCCCCAGACCCGCCUACUCCCAGAUCUCCGUCGACAGCUCGAUGCCCGUCCUGCCGACCCCGUACCGGGAGCCGACGGUCCCAGCCCGCAAGGAGGAGGUGCGGGACCGGGCCAGCUGGAUGCCGAGGCCGCCUCCUUCGUCGACGAAGCGGAGACAAAGGGUCAAGGCCAAGACCCAGGUCAAGGGGAAGGAAACGGGGGGUGGGGAGUUCGUGGAGUACGCGGUGGAUCCGGUGGAGUCCAUGGGUGGACCUGCUGCCAAAAAGAGGGUGGAGCUACGAUCGGGGGCUGCGACGAGAUCUAGUCCGCAGGUGCUGGUCGGGGAGCAUCAGGCCUCAGCUUCGCAAUCCAUGGAGCUUGCCAAUUUUCCUGACGGUGGGACACCUCGGAGGCGGACCUUGGAGACAGAUGUGACGUCAGAGAACGGUUGGAUAGACAGCGAUUUCCUGGAGGGGCCGCGAGGCCCGAGAGGAAAGUUCAACUGCAGCCAACUGAGGGAGGCCCCAAUGAAUUGGACCCCGGAGCAACUCCGAGAGUGGCAGAGCAGAUCCAGAGACUCACUCGCAUUGAUCUCGCGGUGUGGCGGCAGAGUUAUCGGGAGUCGAACAAAGGACGGGGUGCUGCGUUACCGGCUCACGUUGACGGAGUUACCGGUGCCGCCGGAGAAACCGAGGGUCCCCGCGGAAUUGGUUGACACCCGCACGGUUUUCGGCCAAGAAACGCCCGAUGACUCCCGCUUCGUCGACGAACUUAUCGAGGUCCAGCAGGCCUAUCGCCGUCUCCACCAGGCUGUUGAGUUUGACGUCAAAUCUAAGUUGCGGAACUUAGCUCGGAAAAAGGCUGAAACGCAGUCGUCGGAUACGUGGUUGUGCACCUAUGAGGGUCACGGCUGCAAUGCUUUUGCCUAUUCCAGUACCCGACUGCCCAUCUCACCCACCGAAGUGGCCGCGACCUGGUACGCUGAGAGCGAGGGUUACAACUACACUAUUGAGCCGGAUCUUCAAAGGCAUCCUUAUGUUGGUCUUUUCACGCAAAUGGUCUGGGUGUCGAGCCAGGCGAUAGGUUGCGGACGGCAUGAGCGAGAAGAUGAGGAGCAGUUUGUUGUGAUUUGUUUGUACACCCCACUGGAAACGAGCCUGGGAAAUUUUUGGAGAAUGUUCUUCCGAUUCCUCUCAGCGCAACACAUCCCGACUUAGAGGAAAAUAACAAGCUAGAGUUGAUGGACACGAAUGCGAGCGCUUCUUUGGAAGCAAGUCUUGUCUCUUUGCUUUUCUUCCUUGCAUGGUCACGAUGUUAGCUGAAAAGCUAGAGAUGAAAAUGUUUAGUACCUCGAAGGAGCGCCAUCAACUGAUGGAACGAAAGGAAGAUCACCAAACUGGGGGAGUGAUAAUGAAGUUUGCUCGUCAAUUUUGGUCGAGGGUUGGAAUCAAAAAUAUUCACAGCAUUUCAAAAUUUGAGAUAUAAAUAAAAUUAUAGGUUAAGUGAAUAGAAAGAAUCGAAAACCAAGCUAAAAUUGAAAUUCUUAAUGGGAGGGAUCAUACAACAUAAAAACGCAAUAAAUACUAAAUAAAUGCAUAGUUUUUAUUGGAGUGAAGAGAAAAAAUGUCUGGGUUUCAUCUUUGUUGUAACCAAACAUCCGAGAACCUAUUAUAAUUCUAAACGGUAGAGGUAAAGUCAACCCCGGCUAGAUUAAAUGACGACAAAAUUAAAAUAUGCAUGUAAAAAUUGUAACACUUGCUUGACCGACUGUAGAAGCUUUUGGCCCAUUUGAUAUUCAAAACACCAAUAAUUCUUUGGAAAUAAAUAAUUAUCCUAUUCAGAGUUAUAUUUCUCAUCAAUUAGGGAAGUUACGCGUCGAUUUUCCUUACCAUGUUGUAUGUAGACCUUGCUAAUGGAGUCAUGAUCUGCAGGCUUGAAAGGAAAUAAAGAUAGCAUUGAAAUAUUCGAAUGUGGCUGCAUGUUGAAAUUAGGUACACACAUCCACAUAGAAGUUUUGUGGAGGAAUGAGAGUGGAGUGGAGACAAAAUUCCUUAUUGUCGGUAAUUAAAAAAAAAAAAAGGUCAGUGAUGAAUAUUGUUUUCCUUCAAUGCUUUUCCUUUUUCUUUAUUUUUUUCUCUCUCGCAUGUGCAUGAACAUAGUGUUUUGACUAUUCUCUUUUCAUUAUUGGAUUUGCAGAUAAUCCGAAAAUAUAUUUUUCUACAUUCUUAGAUAUAUACGAAACUUGUACCACUGACAAGCAUGCAGCAUGAUUUUAAGAUUUUCGCGAUAACUCAUAGCCUCAAGUGCUGAAUUUAAGCACGUUUAUUUUGAUCUGUUAGUAUGCCUAAUCCUGAAUGGUAUGACUCAUGGGCUCUCUCCACACCCACCGAACAUUUCAGCCGUCGCAAUUGAUACUCAAGUGCAAUCACCUAUGUCCUCAAGUGCUAUUUCUACAUAAUCCAACCAUACCACUGCUCAUGGAGAUGAGUGAAAUUUUCGCGGAAAAUAGCAUUCCACUUUGACUCAUUCUGAGAACAUUGACACUAUUCGAAACAACUCGAGACCUGAAACUACCAGCAGUAAGUAAUACGCCCCACUAAAACUUGCAUCUUACAUUCAUCGCAAGAUAUGCACAUUUCAUAGAAUGCAAAUAAUUAUCUCGGACACAUUUGCAAAGGCCCAAAAUUAACAUGGAUGACUUAAGUAAAGAUGAAUUAAACUCAGAGAGGUCUCUCGAAAAUCUUCGAGUUCUCUUCAUGGUUCCUCGGGCCGGAUCCUCAAUCUAAGCAAAUGAAGUGUUGAACUCAUCCUCUUAGUAGUGAUUUUUAUAUCACCAAGAAAAUUUAGAGCAAAAAAAUUGCUCAAAGUGCUUUUUUUUUAAAUUUAAGUGCCUAUUUGCAUUAAAUAUUCCAUCGUAACAUGCACAUUUUGAGUAUCGUGACUUACGGUAGUGAGGUCUGGCAACUCAAGAAAAGAACUGAAGACAUGCUUAGGGCAACUGAGAUGGACUUUUGGCGAAGGUCUGCUGGGAUAUCGAGAAGAGAGCGUAUCCGCAAUGAAAAGGUACGCGAGAUAAUGGGUGUGGAGAAGGACAUCGUGCACGAUAUCAGGUCCAAGCAGUUGGUUUGGUAUGGACAUGUGCGAAGGAUGGCAGACGAUCGGUUGCCCAAGCAGGUCUUCGAUUGGGUUCCUCCCGGAAGGCGACGGCGUGGACGUCCUGUGAAAGGUUGGCGACAAGGGGUGGAGGAGGAGAUCAGAAGGUGCCAAUUGCCUGAUGACCUCUGGGAGGAUAGGGGGCAAUGGCGAUUGGGCGUCGCAGAGCGCGAGGCGGCGCUGUAAAAGCGGCUUUAUGUAUGUACAUGCACAUUUUGACACAGAAAAAGUGACAGUAAUUAUUUUCCAAUAAUAAUAAUUA
rnacentral:lncRNA from 1 species